rnacentral:rRNA from 1 species
UACGGAGGAUGCAAGCGUUAUCCGGAAUGAUUGGGCGUAAAGCGUCCGCAGGUGGCUGUGUAAGUCUGCUGUUAAAGAGUCUAGCUCAACUAGAUACAAGCAGUGGAAACUACCAAGCUGGAGUACGGUAGGGGCAGAGGGAACUUCCGGUGGAGCGGUGAAAUGCGUUGAUAUCGGAAGGAACGCCGGUGGCGAAAGCGCACGACUGGUCCUCUUCUGACGCUGAGGCGCGAAAGCCAGGGGAGCAAACGGG